GACGAACGCUGGCGGCGUGCUUAACACAUGCAAGUCGAACGGAAAGGCCCUGCUUUUGUGGGGUGCUCGAGUGGCGAACGGGUGAGUAACACGUGAGUAACCUGCCCUUGACUUUGGGAUAACUUCAGGAAACUGGGGCUAAUACCGGAUAGGAGCUCCUGCUGCAUGGUGGGGGUUGGAAAGUUUCGGCGGUUGGGGAUGGACUCGCGGCUUAUCAGCUUGUUGGGGGGGUAGUGGCUUACCAAGGCUUUGACGGGUAGCCGGCCUGGGAGGGUGACCGGCCACAUUGGGACUGCGAUACGGCCCAGACGCCUACGGGAGGCAGCAGUGGGGAAUAUUGCACAAUGGGCGGAAGCCUGAUGCAGCAACGCCGCGUGCGGGAUGACGGCCUUCGGGUUGUAAACCGCUUUCGCCGGUGACGAAGCGUGAGUGACGGUAAUGGGUAAAGAAGCACCGGCUAACUACGUG
rnacentral:rRNA from 1 species